UAUCUGAAAUUCGAAGAUAUAGUUUUAGGCAAUGGGAACACACUCAUUAAGAGGAGUACGGAAAUAACAUCUAAGCCGGCCCAACAGCUAGCCUCACACCCUCCACGCGUUGGUGGUUCGUCAUGAAUAGCCGACGGCGCGGCGGCGCCCUCGCGCGCGUCCUUUUAGACAACGGACGAGGAACAAUGGCCGUAUACCCAUACCGCCGGUUGAACAACUAGCUGAAGGGAAACAGCGGCCUUGGAGUCUAACGGGAAACCAAAGCUCCUAACUUCCCAAGAGAGUCAGCAUAAUAGGUUUAAGAAAGGCAAAUAAUAUAAUAUCUGGCAACCCAGUUGACGUCCGUCACCAAUCACCAUCAUUCCGGGAGGAGUGGUGAGUAAUGUGCUACUGGCCAUGCGGCUGUGACCCCUCAGGCAUCGCAUGAAAAUUUUGCUACAGAUGAAAUUAACACAUGCAAGUCAAUUCGCCAUUCCCAUCUGAUCGGAUCGUGAAAUGUACGAGGCCUUAACCAAGCUGGCAAGCUGGCGAUUGUGGAAUACUAAAUUCAUAGAAAGAACAUUCACCUGCUGAACAUUGACCCGAAAGGUCAGGGUCACAAGACGAAAGUGGCAAAACAGGGUGGCCUUCGUUGUACUACAAUUUACGCUAGUAGGUAUACGCUCCCACAACAAAAUCUUCUGAAGAAGAAGAAGAGACUUUUUAUGAUACGCUUACUGUACCACUUAAAGAACUUCCAGAAAGGGAAGUUGCCUUGAUCUUGGGGGACUUUUUGCCAAAGUAGGAGAUACAACGAUGAAGACAAGUAGGUAUAACGAUGAGCAUCAUUAUACACCGUUGUAAAAGAAACGCAGGACGAAAUUGGUGGAGGAAAAUUAUACAGCUGACCACGAUACUCAGAUAUGAGUUACCGACCCAGUCAGAAAUAAGGAGUAAUUUUUAUUAGCUAGUUCGUACCUGAGUCACAUCCUCCACUGAUUGUUUACUAAAAUGAACUGUUCCAAGUAAAACGACGGUGCCUCGGGCAUCGUUUUGCAAUAAGGUGGCUGAUUGUGGCAAGUUAAGGUUUGAUGUUUUGCUAUAUUUUCGAACGAUACUGGGCAGCAACCCUAAACAUUAAUAUAAAAUGCUUUUUGUUUCAUUGUAAACUAGCGGUCAAACAUACAAUAUUAGAAUAGAUAGGUAAUAUCCAAUAAAUGAGAUAGAUACUGAAACGAUGGUAAAACUGUCAUUGGGCGAUUAUCAAUGUUAGGUUCUAGUGUGCAUUUGCGUUUUUGAUAGGAUGUGAGAGCAAGAAAAGCGUCUCUAAAACAUCGUAAUAUUCCUUAAACAUACUAAAAAUAUUAAGAGUAUUUUGUUCAAUUGUUUACUUACGGUUUUUGCCAUUUUGUUGGACUCCAUGUAAUUUGGUAAACGUCAAAAGGUUCCUUAGUGUAAUACAUGUUUGGUAUCUCA